rnacentral:rRNA from 1 species
GUGCCACUAUCCGCGGUAAUACGAACGGGGCUAGCGUUGCUCGCAUUUACUGUGCGUAAAGGCCGCGCAUGCGGCGGCCCAGUCAGGCGUGAACUUCCUGGGCUCAACCUGGGGACUGCGCUUGAUACUGGGUUGCUUGAGGAUGGAAGAGGCUCGUGGAAUUCCCAGUGUAGAGGUGAAAUUCGUAGAUAUUGGGAAGAACACCGGUGGCGAAGGCGGCGAGCUGGUCCAUUACUGACGCUGAGGCGCGACAGCGUGGGGAGCAAACAGGAUUAGAUACCCUGGUAGUCC